rnacentral:lncRNA from 1 species
UCCAUUCGUUCCCCAUCCACGAAAUCCCUAGAUCUCUCCUGCUGUUCCCCACGCACGCCGGCGCCCCACACCCGACCGCCUCCUGCGGCUACCGCCGUCCGGCGGUCUAUCCCACCGCUGCCCCACGCGCCCUUCCUCUAUAGCAUCGCCCCACGCCGCCCUGUCCCUGCAGCGCAACCUAACUCCGUCCUGCCUCUCUCCGCCGCCGGCUCCACACCCUCGUGCUCUCUCUCUGGUUGGUCGCCUCUCUCCAACAUCCCUGGCCUGACCUCCCCAUCUCCACCAUCUAGCUCACAAAGACCCACGCUGCGGCAGAUUUGGAUCGUGGCAGCGUGCGCUUGGUCAAGGGCAUCCCUCUCUAUCUUUGGCUUGGCAGGGGCACUAAAGCGGCUGAGGUACAGCUCCUCCCUCCAUACAUUCCUCUGUCUUUGCGUCAAGUUAUUUUGCCGCAUCAAUUUUGUAUUACAAAGUUUGUUAAGAGAUGAACUGGGAGUGAAGGAGUUCGCCGUGGAUUAUGGGUAGAAGACUGUUAUUUGCCCCGUUAGUAUUCUGUCGGUGUUGCUUAUGUAGAUUUAAUAUAUUUUUUAUAGUACUGAGUUAUGUUAGAUGGAAAUCGAUUUAUGUUAGAUUUAUUUUUUAUUACAGUACUGAGUUCUAUUGGCAGCCUGCAGCUUCUUUGUCAAAAAUUGUGAAAAUAACUUGGUUCUCCCGAAAGCUAAGCUUCUGUGCAGUACAAAUGGAUGUGUUUCUAGUGUUUGUGCCGCUCCAGCUAAUCACAUUUCUGGGCUGAGUUCACGACAAUGGCGUGUCAGCAUACUUCCAUCCAACUGCCCAAAUACUCAAUUAACUUUCUCUUACUGAAAUCUUCUUCAUACUUAACUUUCUUACUGAAUUCUUCUUCAUGCCACCCACGAUAAACAACACAACAAUAGUUCUUCCUUGCUUGUAAGAUGGCUCAAGCCAAACAUAGACAGCCUUGCGACAUGGCUGUCUUGCUUUCCUUGUUUCAUUUCAUUUUAGUGUACACCACUUUGCUGGAGAACCACAUCCAACCGGAGGAAAGAACCGUGGAAUCACAAUGCAGAACUCCCGCUGCAUUGUUCUCGCUUCCUGCCUCUCAAAGAAAAGGACCUGGCCCACAAUGGCCUGAAUCAAGCUCAUCUUGAAUCAUUGUAGCAUAUAGACAUAUAGACAGGUUUAUUGUUGUCAUGUUUCCCUACAAGCAACUACAACCAAAAUUAACCUAGAAACUAACACUGUGUAGACUAAUUAUGAUGCAUACAAAAGAUACUGUGGAGCAGUAUAUGAUUUUCUUGAUGUAGUGCCACAUAAGUCUUGUGUUUGAUCCACUAAUAUUUUCUAUUUUCAGCGAUGCACUCAUAUAGUGUGUCUUUUGCAGGAGGGACAAUGGCAAGCGCAAGCGGAAAAGCUAAAGAUGAUGGGGCCACGGAGGAACAACUGAAAGUGGUAGAGUAUAAACUACAGAGAAGUAGGACCAUAGAAGAAAAUGAAGUAAGUCAUCCUGCUGAAUCAAAACUGUAGUAUAUCCAUCCACAUACUAAAACUGUAGUAUAUCCCUGCAGCAGACUUUGUUCUGGACAUAAACAAACACAUAUGCAUGUAAUCAUUCUCAAAACACAAACAAUAUGCUCCCUCCGUCCCAACAUAAAUGUCUCAACCAUAGUACAACUUUGUACUAGAGAUAGUACAAAGUUGAGACACUUAUUUUGGGACGGAGGGAGUAUAUUAUAACAAAACUGUAGGCAGUGUUGUUGUAAACAUGUCUACUCAUCAUAAAUCUCCUUACCUUUUUUCUUAUAGUCUCGCAGUGCUAUCACCAAAAAGAACCGCGCCAAUGAAGUGCCUCAUACAUCCGGGAGCAAGAGUCACA